GGACCAGACAACUUCGUAUUUGGUCGGCUCGGUCUUCUUUGCUGCCGCCACUGCUUUAGCGCCUGUGUGGACGAGUUAGCCGCAGCGCGUAGGAGCAGCCCACAGAUGCGCCACUGUUCCAACGCACUGCCCAGCUUGUCACGUGUAUCGCGCGCCACCUCCAGUUGCUCAUCGAUGGACUCCUCGAGCCGGGUCAUGUCAUUGAGCUCCGCAUAGCUGGCGGUUAGAGCCUUGAGCCGUUGCUUGGUGUGAUCCAGAAGUUCACCAUAGUAUCGUAUGCUAAGUAAGUAGAGCGCCGAUUCGCUCAAAUUGGCAAAGAAGUCCUCGUGCAUGGAAGCCUUGCGUGGAUCACCAAUCACGCCUAAGUUAUGAGCCAGCUUUAUAGUUUUGUUUUCAGUAAUUCGAGAUGAAGGUCAGAGUCAUUAUUAUUAUAAUUCUAAUGGUAAUCCCAUUCCAUAUAAUAAUUGAGGGCAUUAAGCACGUGCCAAGGCGUUAAUUACUGAAAGCUCACCUGGGCCAGGUCCUUGGUGGGCGUGUUAGCAACGAUUUCAUUGCCUACCCGCUCGCUGCCCAACGUCAAGGGGUAGCUACUUAAUUGAUGUGCCUCCGCCUCACCCCUUAGCCGGUUCGGCUGGCUCUGCGCUGUCGCUGGACGCGCACUGUGCUGCAUGCCGUCCAGACCCAGCAUAACAUCGCGCUUGGCCUGCAGAUGCUCGAUCCAAGCCUCGGCGGUGGCCAUGCGCGGACCUGGACAAGUGCCCUCCAACUUGCUGAUCCGCUCAUCGAGACGCACGUAUUGCUGCACAAUAUUCUGGACACGCACACAAAACUCAGGAUUCCAGAAGUAUUGAUUUCGAAAUUAUUAUACAAAUUACCGUUACUUUGGCUCCACCAUUUUCUUGCAGACGCAACGCACCAUUUGGUGGCCACUGCCCUCUAGCGCUCGACUGUGUCUCCAUGGACGAACCGCAGCCCAUCACUCAGUCGCAAAAUGAUGGCAUUUUCGUCAGACCUUGCAAUAUAUCAUAUAGUCGAUGUCGUUUUUGAAAGUGCCGUUAAUUUAUUAUAUAUAGUUACGUCCGUAACGCUCGCCAGCCACAUGCCGAAUGCGCAGACAGUGGCGGACCCAUUCGUCCGGCUUGCCUGCUCCACUUUUAACGGGGGGAAAACAACAUUUUCGCGUUACUUGCCCAAUGGACACCGAAUGGACACCCACAAGCACAGCCAUUCAACCACCCGCAUCCACAUACCACGUGCCUCAUUUGCCCAUUCACUCUGAACCAUUAAUGCUUAUUAAGGCGCAGGUGGGUUAGCCACAAGAGGUGGGUGGGGGAAUGGGUGGUAGGCGUAGUUCAGGCAGUUUUGCUUGUAUGUGUCAACAACUUGUGUUUGUUUUUUGCUUGUUGUUGCCUUGCAUGUCGAUCCAGCAUGUUGUUAUUGUAAAUGGCCACACAUAUAUGUACAUGGUUAAGUUGACAAACUAACAAACAAGUAAACAACAACCACUACACGAACAACAACAAUAACAAUAACAAAUUAGAGCAGCUGCAAUGAAAUAGGUGUUACCAAAUGCUAGAAUUUAUGCUGCAUCAGCACUUUAGCAGCUAAUAGGCUCAUAACAUAAUCCAUCAACAGGAUAACCAUCUUGAUUAUGAUAAAUUAACGGUAAACUCAAAUCCUACCAAAGCAUUCGAAAGCUUUAAAUAUUCAGGCCAAUUGUGCAUGCUAUUGUGCACGGGAAAUAUGAUUAGUUUGUAAGUCCAUUUUAAUGGAAAUGUAAACGAGAUUCAUUUCAGCUAAAAGUAAACUGAUUCACUUAGUUGACUCUCUGAUUAAAGAAAAAAUUGCUUAAUUACAAACUUAAUUCGAAUUUGUAGCUACAAAUAUAGCUGAGGCUGAACAAAUAAAUCUAUUUCUCCCAUGAUGUAAACAAAUUGGAAGUUGCUUUGCACAAAGCCAAUAUACCCAUUUUACUUCGUGAAGAGGUAUGUAAAAUUGCUUGCUUUACAAAUUUUAUAGCCAAAUAAAAGCAAUAGCUGAAUGUAUGAUAAAAUCAGGAUCUUAUAUGUAUAUUGAUUUAUACUGACUCAACAAAUAUUUGUUUUUGGGAACUAGAAUAUUUAUAAGGAAUAUUAUAUUAUUAUAAGAAAAUAUUUACAUUUUGAAACCCAUAAACAAUUAGUAAUUUAUCGUUGCCUUUUAAAAUUUAUCCAUUUAAAUUUUAAUGAUCAGCAAAUUAUAAAUGUUUUCUAAACACUAUAUUUAGAA